rnacentral:lncRNA from 1 species
GUGAGUGUUCCCUCAUCUCAUGAUACCAGUAUUUGCACUGCAGUAAAAUGAAUGACACACAUGUUGGGGUUAUCAUCUAUGGAUUCAAUUUUGAAAUGUGCUGCUCUGGUUGGUGAAGACCAGCCUCUUUGCCCAGAUCUUCCUGAACUUGAUCUUUCUGAACUAGAUGUGAACGACUUGGAUACAGACAGCUUUCUGGGUGGACUCAAGUGGUGCAGUGACCAAUCAGAAAUAAUAUCCAAUCAGUACAACAAUGAGCCUUCAAACAUAUUUGAGGUAAGGACAUCCUUUGGAAACAUUAAUUUUUCAUUGAGUUUGGCUUGGGCCCGACUAACAUGGUAAUAGACCUGAAUGCAUAAUGAGUUCUUACUUUGCUAUCAUCAAAAGACUUUUCAUCACAGUUACAUACUUUCUAAUUUAUGGAAAAACAGCAUUUGGAAAACAAAUGUUUUGUUUUUAUUUUUUUAAAGAUUUAAAAAAUAAAUCAACUAGGGACUAGGAAUCAACAACUGUGAGUGAGUUAAACUGU